rnacentral:rRNA from 1 species
UACGGGGGGGGCAAGCGUUGUUCGGAAUUACUGGGCGUAAAGGGUUCGUAGGUGGCCACUUAAGUCAGACGUGAAAUCCCUCAGCUUAACUGGGGAACUGCGUCUGAUACUGAGUGGCUUGAGUGCAGGAGAGGAAUGCGGAAUUCCCGGUGUAGCGGUGAAAUGCGCAGAUAUCGGGAGGAACACCUAUGGCGAAGGCAGCUCGCUGGGACGUUACUGACGCUGAGACGCGAAAGCGUGGGGAGCAACAGG